AUGUUAGUAAAACUAGUUGUUGUUUUUUUUUAAAUAAAUUUUCUUCCAACAAGCACAUUUGCCAGUAGAACUAAACAUUCGUACAGGUCUUAAACGCAUCUCAAGAAAUGUAUCAAAAGUCACUUGCAGCAGGAGCACGCAGAAACAGGAGCCAGGUCAAGAAACAAGUCUUGUAAUCGGAGAUAACAGCAUUUUCCGAAAUCUUGGGAAACAUCAUAGAAGAUAAUGAUCAGCAAAACAAAGGAAGGAUGAGGGAAGGAAAGGAACUUGAUGCAGUGACCCUAAGAUCUCCAAGUGAGAACCAAGGAGAACCAUCAAAGCAGUCUAAGCAGGCAGGAAAAACUGGCAAAGAUCAGGAUGUGAAUAGACCAGCUAUUGAACCUACAUCUCAUCGACGGCUUUGGAGUAAGGCCGAAAAGGCAGCAGUAUGGCAACAGCUUUGCCAAUAUGUAACCUUAGAGAGUUCCUGGUAAAGAACCAUGUCUUGAAGUACUUAAAGUUGAGCCUGCACUGAGAAGCCAAACUUGGAAAGACAUAAAAAACAAGUUUACAAUACUAUUACUGUUCAAAAGCCGAAAAAACAUUCUACAUUAGAUAUGGUCAAUCUUACAUUGUUUGGUUAAAACUACAAAAGAAGUUGUAAGCAGUGCAUAUUUGGCAAUGGUCCUUUGCCUAGUGUUUGGACAGCAGCAAAAAUAUGUAUUUUUGUUCCAUAAACAAAUAAAAUAGUUUGCAUUCGG